CAGGCUGCAAACAAGAGCUGUAUUUUUGGAGCUCUCGCAGUCUCACUCUCGUCUAAUUUGUCUGAUCAUGACCGGUUUGCCGCAUGCAUAAUAAACAAAGGCAUAAAAAAGCCUCUCUGGCUUCAAAGAUGUCUGAAAGUUGAUUUGAGCAGACAGUUUUUUUCUUCUGUAUAUGCAAUUAUCAUGACUGACCUCCAGGAAACCGAUGACCACCACUUCGGCAGAGUCGAUGAAGGCCUCGACAGAUUUUGUGUCAGUCAGUCUGGGGAGGGCACUUUCUGAGAAAGAAAGACAGGAGACACUCAAUUUAAGCUCGUUAACAUUGGCUAACAAGAACUCCUGUAUAUACAAGUGAACUCCUCUUCUUCUCAGUAACCAGCAGCUGCCCAUCAUGUUUCAAACUGAAAACAACCUGUGACCUCAAGGAAAAACCAGACUGCUCUGGUCGCCUCUGACUGAUAAUCUCCUUUUAAGAUGAUUCGGCACAUGGGCAGACCAACAACAACAACAACAACAACAACAACAACAACAACACAA